rnacentral:rRNA from 1 species
GUCUAUGGCUAUACCACCCUGAACGUGCCUGAUCUUGUCUGAUCUUAAAAGCUAAUCAGGGUCAAGCCUAGUUAGUACUUGGAUGGGAGACUAUUGUCAAGGAGUUGGUCCUGCCUACU